rnacentral:lncRNA from 1 species
CAGAGAUUCCCUUGGUGUCCACUGCAGUGACCCUGGUCCUGAGGAACCUGCAGACAGGCAGAUGAGGGAGUCUGCAGGUGCUUGAAUGAGCCCGACACCAGCCUCUGCCCCUGGGUGCCCGACGUAACAACAAGGAUCCCACUGGUCGCCCCUGGCAUGCCCCACCAGCCUUCACCCUGAGUUGGCAGCCCCCACCCCUGCCAGCCGUCACCCUGCAUUGUUCCGGCUCCCCCGAAGUCCCCACGCUGCAGUGCGGCCAAGACCCCUCCCCACGGGGGCCACCCCCACCAAGUGCCCCUGGUGCCCGGGGUGGCCCGGCCCGUCGGGCCAUGAAGCUGCAGGCAGUGAUGGAGACUCUUAUUCAGAGGCAACAGCGAGCCCGGCAGGAACUGGAGGCUCGACAGCCUCCACUACCCCCACCACCGGAGCCCGCUGGUGUCCAGGCUCGGACCACCAUGACAGAUGAGGACAGGGAGCCUGAGAAUGCCCGUAUGCAUAGGACGCAGAUGGCUGCACUGGCUGCCAUGCGGGCUGCUGCCGCCGGCUUGAGACAUCCGUCCUCUCCCGGGGGCUCGGAGGACGAAGACACAGCCCAGGGAGGGACUCUGAGUUCACCUGCCCUGCAUGGAAGUGGCCAGGAGGGACCGGGACACACUGAGGGAGACGGCCAUUUGAUGGACAUGGGCUCCGAUGAUGACACGAAGCCCAAGUGGGAAGAACAAGAGCUGGAAGAACUGGGGGAAGAGGAAGAGGAGGAGGAUGAAGAUGACUUUGAGGAAGAAGAGGAGGAUGAGGAGGAAGAAGGCCUGGGCCUCCCAGAGUCUGCCAGCCUGGGCUCCGCAGGCCUGUUUACCCGCAAGGCCCCACCUACUCAGACCUUCCGUGGAGACGGUGGUCCCAGAAUGCUCAGUGGCCCUGAGCGCCUGGGACCUGGCCCGGCCCACCCCAGUCAUGUGGCGUCCCAGAUGCCACCACCGGACCAUGGGGACUGGACAUUUGAGGAGCAGUUCAAACAGCUCUAUGAACUGGACGCAGACCCCAAGAGGAAAGAGUUCCUGGACGACCUGUUCAGCUUCAUGCAGAAGCGGGGUACAUGAAGUAUCUUUACCCCUAUGAGUGUGAGAGGCGAGGCCUGAGCAGCCCCAAUGAGCUCCAGGCUGCCAUAGACAGCAACCGCCGGGAGGGCAGGCGCCAGAGCUUCGGGGGCUCCCUCUUUGCUUACUCACCCAGUGGAGCCCACAGCAUGCUGUCCUCACCCAAGCUACCGGUGACUUCUUUGGGCCUUGCUGCCAGCACCAAUGGCAGCUCUAUCACCCCAACACCCAAGAUCAAGAAAGAGGAAGACUCAGCCAUCCCCAUCACAGUCCCAGGCCGCCUACCCGUGUCUCUGGCAGGCCACCCUGUCGUAGCAGCCCAGGCAGCGGCUGUGCAAGCCGCAGCAGCCCAGGCUGCAGUUGCGGCCCAGGCAGCCGCCCUGGAACAACUCCGGGAGAAGCUGGAAUCCACGGAGCCUCCGGAAAAGAAGAUGGCCCUGGUUGCAGAUGAGCAGCAGCGUCUCAUGCAGCGAGCCGUGCAGCAGAGCUUCCUGGCCAUGACAGCCCAGCUGCCCAUGAACAUCCGGAUCAACAGCCAAGCCUCUGAGAGUCGCCAGGACCCAGCUGUAAAUCUCACCAGUGCCAAUGGCAGCAACAGUAUUAGCAUGUCCGUGGAGAUGAACGGUAUUGUAUACACAGGGGUGCUGUUCGCUCAGCCACCACCUCCUACGCCACCUCCCGCCUCCAGCAAAGGUGGUGUGAGCAGCAUUGGUACCAACAACACCAUGGGUAACCGGACAGGAGCCAGUGGCAGUGCUGGCAGCAGCGGCCAAGUGGGGCUGGCUGGGGUGUCUGCACCCACCAUGUCUUCUACCUCAAAUAACUCCUUGCCUUAAAAGGAAACCAAGUUGCAUGGCUGCCCACCCGCCACAGGAACCACAUGGCCACACAGGGGGACCUGGGACGUCAGAAGAAUCCCAGUGGGCUGGGCAGAUUCCCAAGGAGCCACACUGACGCCAAAAAGGAGAGAGAGAGAUAGAGAGAGAAAGAGAGAGAGAGAAAAUAUAUAUAUAUACAUAUAUAUAUAUACAUAUAGAAAGAGAUAGGUAGAUGGAGAAACAGAUCUAAUAAAUCAGGGCAAAGC